CCGAACUCAUGCCGACGUCAGGGAAAGGAUUCUGCUGUCGGUCCCACUCCAAAGUUUGCAAAAUGGGUGGUGGGCACAGAAUCCAGACUCUGCUGUGGCAUAUGUCACCUGGUC
rnacentral:pre_miRNA from 1 species